rnacentral:lncRNA from 1 species
AGGCCUUAGGACGUAAGGCGUGGACGUGCGUGACGUCACCCUCUGGCCUGCGAGAUGGCGAGGGCAAGUAGCGGGGCCGAUGCUCCCUUGGGAUCCGGGUGUGGCUCGGCUCAGAUGUACAGUGUUAAUGCAUGCAUAUUUCACAAUGAAUGAAGAACAGAAACCCAAAAUUUUAACUCAGUGAAUGGAUGAACUGGGAGAUGUCUGACUCGACUUAGAAUUUCUGAAGCAUGCACACUAUGGCUAAGUUUCAGACUGAAAAGCCAGAAAAAACAGGUAGAAGUUACAAGAAAGAAAAAGUCUUUUUAGAAACACCACAAAGAAAAUGAUCAACAAUCAAGAACAGACAAAAGCAGAAUGGAUUGGCUGUGUGGAAGGUUUUUGUUUUAUGAGUGUGUGUAUAUGCAUGACUGUAUGUAUGGUACACGUGUGUGCAGUUGCCCUAGGAGGCCAGGAGAGGGCACUGCAUCUUCAGGAACUGGAAUUACUGGUGGUUGCAAGCUGCCUAAUGUAGGAUAUGGGAGCCAGACUCACAUCUUGAGAACCAAACUUGUGUCCGUAGGAAGAACAGCAAGUGCUCUUAACAGAUGAAGUAUCUUUCCAGCCCUACUUUGGAAGUGUUUAAACUGAGAUAAGGUGGCUUUCUGUCUUAAUUCCCUAAGAAUAAAGAAAAAAGUUUGUUGUA